rnacentral:rRNA from 1 species
UACAGAGGUCUCAAGCGUUGUUCGGAUUCAUUGGGCGUAAAGAGCUCGUAGGCGGCUUGUUGCGUCGGCUGUGAAAACCCGCGGCUUAACUGCGGGCUUGCAGCCGAUACGGGCGGGCUGGAGUUCGGUAGGGGAGACUGGAAUUCCUGGUGUAGCGGUGAAAUGCGCAGAUAUCAGGAGGAACACCGGUGGCGAAGGCGGGUCUCUGGGCCGAUACUGACGCUGAGGAGCGAAAGCGUGGGGAGCGAACAGG